UGCUGCACAGGAAACAGUUCGCACCUGACUCUGUUUACAUGGCCCCGCCCAGCUGUUCCACUGCGGUGGCUGACUCGAGAGCUGGACCACUUCCACGAAGGGCGAAGGGCGACAGGCAAAGUCACUCGGAGCUGCCUGUGAGCCGAUUUCCAGGGGCUGCCUGCCGGCUUCCUGCACGCAGAGCAAAAACAGCAAGAGCAGACGCUCUGCUCUCCAAGUUGCCGGGCCAGACGCGGGGCCUGCUUGAAGAGUGAAAUGAAAACCUUUCCGGGUCCUGCUGACAAUGCUGGUGCUUUCAAAACAAACAAGGACAGCUAUGAAGACAGUUCAGGGGUCCGUUAAAAACCCCCAACCACGCCAUCAUCGGUUCCCAGGAGGUGUCACGCCGGAGGAACACACGAGGGUGAACCUGGCCUCCUGCAGCUCUGCGGUGACCGGGGGCCUCGGGCAGGGCUGGAUGCUUCUCACCCUGAUGAGCACGGAGACCGAUCCCCAGAGGCUCGUGUGGGGAAAAGGGGAGUCCUGGGUGCCCUGCUGCUGCAGGACAUGCAAGUUCAAACGGCUUUGGAGGGGAGAAUAAUUCUGCGACGGCCCCUCUCCACCAGCUCCCUCUCCCCUCGAGCACUGCUCACUGGUAGACAGAAAGAACAGGGAGCCGGCCCCAGCUUGAGACCCUGUCCCUCUCGAGAACUUUUCAGAUCAGCCUGGUUGUUGUCCAGCUGGUCCUCCGAGUCCUGAGACCUGAGCCCUCUCGGACUCAGGACUCCCUUACGUAGCACUAGCCUUGCCAUAAAUACGUCUGCAUCAAUAAAUACAUCAUUCUGGGGUCCCAGACGGACCGACCGCCUCCGGGACUGGACACUGAGCCUUUCAUUGCUUUUUGGUAAGAUCUACCAGUCAGCAGAGGGCACACCCGAAGUCUGUUUAUGGAUUCUGGGACGCACAGCCCCAUGAGCUACCUGCUUAGAGGGGAGAGCCGAACUGGCCGGUUUUACCUGCAGCUGUGGUGGGAGGUGACCUGCAAUGACCUAGAGACGAUGCCUAGCUAGCUCGCUUUAAGAAACUCAAUGGUUUCUAGACAAUUACAGCUGAAAGGGCCUCAUUUUCCUGGCGAGGAAAGUGUUCUAAAGGGUGGCAAGGAUUUUCCUGGCCGGGGGAGGUUGGCUGGCCUCUCUUCUUGCCCCCUUCCUUCUGUGAGGCUAAAAGGGGUUUAUAGUAACCAGCCCCAGGCCCAGGGCUGCCCCUCCCAGGAAAGCCCAACUUCUAUUACGGCAGAUGGGAGGCCACCUUUCUCCUGGUUACAGCUUCCCUGCCCUGAAUGUGUGCGCUAUCAGAGGAGCCAGAAGUUCUGGGAAAGGAAGGGAAGAAGCGAUGACAUGCAGGAUGAGCUCAGGGGCAGCACCUUGUCGAGGAAGUUCCUGGCCAGGCUGCCUGCCAAGAACGUGCUCCCCCGUGCCCAUCUGAGGUCACACGGCACGCUGUGUCAUUGAUUUGCAGAUCUGCUUGCGUGCACUUGGCUUCUCUUCUGCAAGUACUGGACCAGUCCUCUGGGAGGGGGUCUAAGGUCUCCAUCAGUUCUAGGUUAAAGGCAAGGGAGUAGGUAUAACUUUGCCCAGUAGGGAUGAGCUGCUCCUAGAACAGGGGAGUUCUGGGAUGGGGGUGGGCGGGUAGGGAGCACAUUAGAAGGAGGGGAUCUUUUAAGGUGUAGGAGCCAGGUGGGCCCACUCCAUGGAGGCUCAGAGGGUGGUAGGAGAGGCAUGGGUAAGAAAUAAAAAUAUUCAUCUGCUUCAGACGUUUAUCUUGGCUGGCCCGGCUCUCAGGCAAGAAAGAGGAAGCUGCUUGUGGCUGGAGCAUUGCAGUCACUAUUCAGGCGCUUUGACUGCGGUUUCUUGUCCUGCAAUUCAGCUUGCUCACUCCUGCCAAUUCUACUCUCCUAACUGGCACUUCAUGCCACGCCCUUGCUCAAGAACAUACAAUGGCUCCCUAUUACUAGCUGGACCAAGUUCAUAGUCCUCAUUAGGUUUUCAAAUAAUCUGGCUCUUAGCUUAAAUGUUGGACUCUACUGGCUAGAAUCUAAGAGUCAAGGUGAAUUUCACUGAAUGCUUUCUUCCCACCUUAUAAAAAUGGGAGCCCUAAGAAAGGGGUCUUGUUCCUAAGAAAUCUAUCAUGAUCUUUGUGUGCCUUCAAACUUUGACUGCUAGAGGUAAAUCAUUAAAAAAAAUCUUGGAAACCACUGGCUUUUAGAAUGAGGUCACCAAACACGAAGAAUGUGUUUUUCAAAGCAUAAUAAAAAUGCAGUCCAUUUGGGCAGAAAAA